rnacentral:rRNA from 1 species
CCUACGGGGGGCUGCAGUGGGGAAUAUUGGACAAUGGGGGCAACCCUGAUCCAGCCAUGCCGCGUGUGUGAAGAAGGCCCUCGGGUUGUAAAGCACUUUCAGUGAGGAAGAACGCCUGGUGGUUAAUACCCAUCAGGAAAGACAUCACUCACAGAAGAAGCACCGGCUAACUCCGUGCCAGCAGCCGCGGUAAUACGGAGGGUGCGAGCGUUAAUCGGAAUUACUGGGCGUAAAUCGCGCGUAGGUGGCUUGAUAAGCCGGUUGUGAAAGCCCCGGGCUCAACCUGGGAACGGCAUCCGGAACUGUCAAGCUAGAGUGCAGGAGAGGAAGGUAGAAUUCCCGGUGUAGCGGUGAAAUGCGUAGAGAGCGGGAGGAAUACCAGUGGCGAAGGCGGCCUUCUGGACUGACACUGACACUGAGGUGCGAAAGCGUGGGUAGCAAACAGGAUUAGAUACCAGAGUAGUC